AGAUUAAGUUAUUAAGGGCGCACGGUGGAUGCCUUGGCACUAGAAGCCGAUGAAGGACGUUACUAACGACGAUAUGCUUUGGGGAGCUGUAAGUAAGCUUUGAUCCAGAGAUUUCCGAAUGGGGAAACCCAGCAUGAGUUAUGUCAUGUUAUCGAUAUGUGAAUACAUAGCAUAUCAGAAGGCACACCCGGAGAACUGAAACAUCUUAGUACCCGGAGGAAGAGAAAGAAAAUUCGAUUCCCUUAGUAGCGGCGAGCGAAACGGGAAGAGCCCAAACCAACAAGCUUGCUUGUUGGGGUUGUAGGACACUCUAUACGGAGUUACAAAGGACGACAUUAGACGAAUCAUCUGGAAAGAUGAAUCAAAGAAGGUAAUAAUCCUGUAGUCGAAAAUGUUGUCUCUCUUGAGUGAAUCCUGAGUACGACGGAGCACGUGAAAUUCCGUCGGAAUCUGGGAGGACCAUCUCCUAAGGCUAAAUACUCUCUAGUGACCGAUAGUGAACCAGUACCGUGAGGGAAAGGUGAAAAGCACCCCGGAAGGGGAGUGAAAUAGAACCUGAAACCGUGUGCUUACAAGUAGUCAGAGCCCGUUAAUGGGUGAUGGCGUGCCUUUUGUAGAAUGAACCGGCGAGUUACGAUUUGAUGCAAGGUUAAGCAGUAAAUGUGGAGCCGUAGCGAAAGCGAGUCUGAAUAGGGCGUUUAGUAUUUGGUCGUAGACCCGAAACCAGGUGAUCUACCCUUGGUCAGGUUGAAGUUCAGGUAACACUGAAUGGAGGACCGAACCGACUUACGUUGAAAAGUGAGCGGAUGAACUGAGGGUAGCGGAGAAAUUCCAAUCGAACCUGGAGAUAGCUGGUUCUCUCCGAAAUAGCUUUAGGGCUAGCCUCAAGUGAUGAUUAUUGGAGGUAGAGCACUGUUUGGACGAGGGGCCCCUCUCGGGUUACCGAAUUCAGACAAACUCCGAAUGCCAAUUAAUUUAACUUGGGAGUCAGAACAUGGGUGAUAAGGUCCGUGUUCGAAAGGGAAACAGCCCAGACCACCAGCUAAGGUCCCAAAAUAUAUG
rnacentral:rRNA from 1 species